UACAGAGGGUGCAAGCGUUAAUCGGAAUGACUGGGCGUAAAGGGUGUGUAGGUGGCUUUUUAAGUUAGAUGUGAAAUCCCCGGGCUUAACCUGGGAACUGCAUUUAAUACUGGGAAGCUAGAGUAUGGGAGAGGUAAGUGGAAUUUCCGGUGUAGCGGUGAAAUGCGUAGAUAUCGGAAGGAACACCAGUGGCGAAGGCGGCUUACUGGCCUAAUACUGACACUGAAACACGAAAGCGUGGGGAGCAAACAGG
rnacentral:rRNA from 2 species